rnacentral:rRNA from 1 species
CCCUUAGAUGUUCUGGGCCGCACGCGUGCUACACUGAUGCAUUCAACGAGUCUAAAACCUGGUCUGAUAGGGCUGGGUAAUCUUUUGAAAGUGCAUCGUGAUUGGGAUAGAUGAUUGCAAUUCUUCAUCUUCAACGAGGAAUGCCUAGUAAACGCAAGUCAUCAGCUUGCAUUGAUUACGUCCCUGCCCUUUGUACACACCGCCCGUCGCUCCUACCGAUUGAAUGAUCCGAUGAAUACCAUGGAUUGAGAGUACGAAUAGGUUCGCUUAUUUCUGCUGCUCGAGAAGUGGAGGAAAUCUUAUCAUUUAGAGGAAGGAGAAGUCGUAACA